CUCCAAGUGUUUGCAACAAGACGAAACUCAGCCUCGGCAACACACACACACCUCUUGGAUGUGUGCAUGAUACACGCUAUGGGCGUGGGACCGCCCAGCUCGCAUUCCCUGAAUAAUGUAUGUUUCCUUUGGCGGCCUCGAGUUACCCAGGGGUGACGGUGGAGGCAGAGGUGGAAUUACAGAGCCCGGCUAUUCUGCCCACUGAGAACGUUUCUCGGGUGAAAAGCCGAAGCGUGGCCUGGUGAGGGGCUGGUAGGCAGGCGGACAGAUUGCUCUCUCAGCGGCGGAGAGGGAGAAGCGAUUCUGAUGGUCCCAUCUGGCUAGCGCGGGCAAAUACGUCCCUUCUGGGUCUGACACCAGUGGCUUGAGCCUUUUUGACUUCGGACAGGCAACCACCAGCUGCCUGAGCAGCGUGGGCGCUGUGUGUCCUCCCGGUGGUCAUGGCACCCACAUUCCCCCGAAAAGGAAAGCUGUUCUCUUUCCAAACAUCACGGCACUCGGUGGAUCCUCUCCCCUACUUGGUUAGGGGGCACUUUUCUCCUCACCUGACAGAAGAGGAAGCUAAAGUUUGAGUAACACACAGCCGGGAAGAGGCAGUGCCAGGAGAGGAACCCAGGUCAGCCUGACUCCAAAGGUCACGUUCAAUUCCACUUCCUCAUUUUCCACCAAAA